CGGGGUAUAGCACAGCCCGGUUAGUGUGCCUGCUUUGGGAGCAGGAGGUCGCAGGUUCGAAUCCUGCUACCCCGA
rnacentral:tRNA from 4 species